rnacentral:rRNA from 1 species
UUGAAAGGGAAACGAUUGAAGUCAGUCGUACCGACGAGAAAUCAACUUAUCGUGUGCGAACUUGUGGGCGUGCGUGAGUUUCGGCCUCGCUGUUUGCAUCUUUGUGCGUUUUGGGUGUACUUUUUCGUAUGGUAGGCCAACGUCAGUUUCGAUUAUCAUAAAAUGACCGGCGGAAUGUAGCUUCGAUUUCGGUUGGAGUGUUAUAGCCUCUGGUAGAUGUGGUGAUUGAGACUGAGGAUUGCAACGAAUACCCUUUGGGCUAUCCGUCUGGCCUCUGAAAGUUGCUCAGGUGCCGAAAGCGUGCUUACGGUCAUCUAAGAUAACGUUCAACAGGUUAGAACGUGAUUACAUUCGUUAAGGAUGUUGACGUA